CCACAUCAUUUUGAAACACUGGUUCCCAUACGACCACCAAAGUUAAGCUUUGUUGAGCCUAAUCUGUACUUAGAUGGGUGACCAUUUGGGAAUACCAGAUUCUGUAA